CUGGGCACGAGGAAUAAAAAGACC
rnacentral:piRNA from 1 species